UACGUAGGGAGCAAGCGUUAUCCGGAUUCAUUGGGCGUAAAGAGCGCGUAGGCGGCUUGACAAGUCAGGUGUUAAAUCCGAGAGCUCAACUUUCGGCCGCACCUGAAACUGUCAGGCUUGAGUCAGGUAGAGGAAGGCGGAAUUCCCAGUGUAGCGGUGAAAUGCGCAGAUAUUGGGAGGAACACCGGUGGCGAAGGCGGCCUUCUGGGCCUCGACUGACGCUGAGGCGCGAAAGCUAGGGGAGCGAACA
rnacentral:rRNA from 1 species